CAGGCCUAACACAUGCAAGUCGAGCGAGAAAGUGACUUCGGUCGCGAGUAAAGCGGCGAACGGGUGAGUACAACGUGGAUAAUCUACCCUAGGGUCUGGGACAACCCCGAGAAAUCGGGGCUAAUACCGGAUAAGACCACAGUAUCCAAGGAUACAGCGGUAAAAGAUUUAUCGCCUUUGGAUGAGUCCACGCCCCAUCAGGUAGUUGGUAAGGUAAAGGCUUACCAAGCCUAAGACGGGUAGCCGGCCUUAGCGGGUGAACGGCCACAUGGGGACUGAGACACGGCCCUGACUCCUACGGGAGGCAGCAGUGGGGAAUAUUGGCAAUGGGCGAAAGCCUGACCCAGCGAUGCCGCGUGAGGGAUGAAGGCCUUCGGGUUGUAAACCUCUGUCAGGAGGGACGAUGGGACACUUGUGUCUUGACGGUACCUCCAGAGGAAGCCCCGGCUAACUCCGUGCCAGCAGCCGCGGUAAUACGGAGGGGGCAAGCGUUGCUCGGAAUUACUGGGCGUAAAGGGUCCGCAGGCUGUCAGGCAAGUUGGUUGUGAAAGCUCAAGGCUUAACCUUGGAAUUGCAUCCAAAACUGCCUGACUAGAGUCCAAGAGAGGUUGGCGGAAUUCCCGGUGUAGCGGUGAAAUGCAUAGAUAUCGGGAGGAACACCAGAGGCGAAGGCGGCCAACUGGCUUGGUACUGACGCUCAGGGACGAAAGCGUGGGUAGCAAACCGGAU
rnacentral:rRNA from 1 species